rnacentral:rRNA from 1 species
CCUACGGGUGGCUGCAGUGGGGAAUAUUGCACAAUGGGCGCAAGCCUGAUGCAGCCACGCCGCGUGUGUGAAGAAGGCCUUCGGGUUGUAAAGCACUUUCAGCGGGGAGGAAGGCGUUAAGGUUAAUAACCUUGGCGAUUGACGUUACCCGCAGAAGAAGCACCGGCUAACUCCGUGCCAGCAGCCGCGGUAAUACGGAGGGUGCAAGCGUUAAUCGGAAUUACUGGGCGUAAAGCGCACGCAGGCGGUCUGUCAAGUCGGAUGUGAAAUCCCCGGGCUCAACCUGGGAACUGCAUUCGAAACUGGCAGGCUAGAGUCUUGUAGAGGGGGGUAGAAUUCCAGGUGUAGCGGUGAAAUGCGUAGAGAUCUGGAGGAAUACCGGUGGCGAAGGCGGCCCCCUGGACAAAGACUGACGCUCAGGUGCGAAAGCGUGGGGAGCAAACAGGAUUAGAUACCCCAGUAGUC